rnacentral:lncRNA from 10 species
AUACUGCAUCUUUUGCAAAUCGGAGUCGUGUGUAACCCUGAAUUAGCAAAUGUAUCAGUCCCAUUUUUUCAACAGCAUAAACUCACGUUGUGUCUCUCUGUCACACCUUGGUCAUUUUUGUAAUAUUUGAAAGUUUUUCACAAUUAUUAUAUCUGUUAUGAUGAUCUGUGAUCUUUGAUGUUACUGCUGUCGUUAUUUUGGGGUGCCAUGAACCACACCCAUAGUAGGCAGCGAACAUAUUUGAUCAAUGUGUGCGUUCUCACUGCUCCACCGACAGGCCAUUCACCCAUCUCUUCCCCUCUCACCGGGCCUCUCUGUUCCCUGAGACACAGCAGUAUUAAAAUAAACAAAUUAGUAACCCUACAAUGGCCUCUAUAUGUUCUAGGGAAAGGAAGAGUCACACAUCUCUCACUUUAAAUCAAAAGCUAGAAAUGAUUAAGCUUAGUGAGGAAAUCAUGCUGAAAGCUAAGAUAAGCCGAAAGUAGCUCUCUUGUGCAAAAUACUUAGCCAAGUUAUAAAUACAAAGGAAAAUUUUUUGAAGGAAAUUAAAUAAUACUCCAGUAAACACAGGAAUGAUAAGAAAGGGAAACAGCCUUGUUGCUGAUGUAGAGGAAAGUGUUAGUGCUCUGCGUAGAAGAUCAAACCAACCACAACAUUCCCUUAAGUCACAGCCUAAUCCAGAGUGAGGUCGUAGUUCUCUUCAAUUCUACGAAGGCUGAGAGAAGUGAUGAAGCUGCAGAAGAAAAGUUUGAAGCUAGCAGAGAUUGGUUGUGAGAUUAAAAAACGAAGCCAUCUCAGUAACAUAAAAGUGCAAGGUUUGAUGCAGCAAGUGCUGAUGUAGAAGCUGCAGCAAGUUAUCCAGAAAAUCUAUGUAAGAGAACCGAUAAAGGAGAAUACGCUAAACAGAUGCUUUGACUUAGACCAAAGAGCUUUACAUUGGACAAAAAUGGCACCUGAGAGGUGCAUAGCUAGAGAGAAGUCAGUGUUUGGUUUCAAAGCUUCAAAGUACAGGCCGACCCUCUUUGUUAGGGGCUAGUGCAGCUGGUAACUUUAUGGUGAAGCCAGUGCCAAUUAACCAUUCAGAAAAUCCUCCUGCUCAUAAGAAUUAUGCUAAAUCUACUCUGCAUGUGCCCUAUAAAAUACAACAAUAAAGCCAGGAUGACAGUGCAUCUGUCUACAGUAUGGCUUACUGAAUAGAUUAAGCCCACUGUUGAGACCUACUGAUCAGGAAAAAAAAAAAAAAAAAAUCUUUUACAAUGAUACUUCUCAUUGACAGUGCACCUGACCACCUAAAAUCUCUGGUGAAGAUAUGCAAGGAGAUUAAUGCUGUUUUCAUGUCAGCUAACACAAUAUUCAUUCUGCAACCCAUGGAUCAAGGAGUAAUUCUGACUUUCCAGUCUUAUUAUUUAAGAAAUACAUUUUGAAAGGCUAUAGCUGCCAGACAUACUGAUUCAUCUGAUGAACUGGGGCAAAAUAAAUUGAAAACUUUCUAGACAAAAUCUAAAUGUCAUUAAAAACAUUCUUGAUUCAUGGGAGGAAGUCAAAACAUCAAUAUUAACAGGAAUUGGACGAAGUUGAUCCAACUAUCAUGGCUAACUUUGAGGAGUUCAAAACAUUUACUGUUUGGAAGUCACUGCAGACAUGGUGGAAAUAGCAAAGGAACUAGAAUUAGAAGUGGAGCCUGAAGAUGUGACUAAAUUUUUAUGAACUCAUGAUAAAACCUGAAUGGAUAAGGAGUUGCUUCUUAUGAUGGGCAGACAGUGUGGUUUCUUGAGAUGGAGGCUACUCCUACUGUAGAUGCUGUGAACAUUGUUGAAAUGACAAUAAAGGACUUCGAACAAAACCUAAACUUAAUUGAUAAAGCAGUGGCAGGAAAUGAGAUAAUUGACUCUAGUUUUUAUUAAAUUUCUACUGUGGGUAAAAUGGUAACAAACAGAAUCUCAUGCUACAGAGAAAUCUCUCCUGAAAGGAAGAGUCUAUCGGUGCAACAAAGUUUGCUGUUGUCGUAUCUUAAGAAAUUGCAACAGCCUCCCCAGCCUUCAGCCACCACCACCCUCGUCGGUCAGCAGUCAUCAACAAUGAGGACAGACUCUCCACCAGCAAAAUACUACGUCUUGUGAAGCCUCAGAUGAUCAUUAGCAUUUUUUAACUCUAAAGUAUUUUUAAUUAAGAUAGGUACAUUGUUUUUGUAGACAUAAUGCUGUUGGACACCUAAUAGACUAUACUGUAGUGUAAACACAACUUUUAUAUGCACUCAGAAGCCAAAAAAUUUAUGUGAUGCUUUAUUGUGAUAUUCGCUUAACUCCUGUUAUCUGCAACUUAAUCUGCCAUAUCUCUAAGGUAUGCCUGUAUUUUCAUAAUUCCAAAACGGAUAAAUUAUUUUAAGAUUGUGAAAUCUCUUUGAUCAUACAUUAAAUAUUAAUUUAAUGUUUGCUCCAUUAUUUUCAGAACUAAUCAAACUAUUCUGAAAGUUAAUAGAAAAAAAUUUAGAGAAAGUAUUUUUAAAUGACAAUAUUGCUUUUAUCUUAUCGGCCUGCUAGCUUCUGUACUUCUCAUGAAAAAAAAAAAAUAAAAAAGCAUGUUCAUCAAAAUCCUAAUGGUUGUUGAAACACAGAUUUGGCAAAAUAGAAAAAAAAACAAUUCUGUUGAGAAAUUUCUCUAUGUUUCUUAGAUUUUAUCAAAAGUUGGACUAACUUAAUUCUGUUUUUCUAAACUCAUACAGUGAAACUUGGCCAAUUUCCUAGAUUGACUGGCAUUUGAAAUUCUGUAACCUUUUUUUGUUAACAUUGUAUUUUGAGAACAUGCAACAGUACACGUUGUUUUGAAACAAUUGUGUUGUAACUGAAGGGGACAGGAGUAUUAAACCAAGACAGUUUUCGAAAUGGCAUAUAAUUUAAGGAUUUGGGGUAGAGCAUUGUUAUUACGCAAGUCAAGAUCUGUAAUCCCUUAAACAAUAAUAUAAAUACUGUGAAUGUCUGUAGUUUACAUUGUUUCACUUACUAAUAGCUCAUUAUGACGUAUGUUAAACCAAGUUAGUUAGAUGACCAGAAGAGACUUUGAUUCUAUCCUGUUAUGUUCAAGGAAAUCAGAGUAAUUAGCACUACAACUCUACACAGAGAACAUAGUGUUACUGGAAUAUAUUGUUCCCUUCAAAAUAAUUACCGGUAUCCAUUAUACAAAUUGAAGGCAUUCCAUAAUGUCCACUGUACUCUCCAAGAAAACAAAAGUUUGCUUUUGUUUAGUAUUAUGCCCUUGUGGCUAGAACAGUAUCUGAUGCCUAGCAGGUGCUAUAGAAACAUUUCUUGAAAUGAAUAAAUUAUAGCAUAAAUACAUAAGAUGCUACAGUUGAGAUGGAGAGAAUUCAAGCAUGUUGAAAUAUCAUUUGUUGGCAAAACUGCCAGGAUUGUUGAUAGAUAUUUGGAGGACAGAGAUACGUGAAAAAGAACAAAAGAAUAUUCCUAAUAUAUGAUUUUUUUUGACUAGGUAGAUAGGAACAUUUACGGAAACGGAAAUAUAUUUCAAUAGGGUUUAAUAUGUUUGGUUAAAUAAAGAAGAGUGGUAUUCAGGUGAAAAUAAUAAUUAUGAAAUAAAAUACGUCAUUUGGGGGCCCCAAGACAAGGUUUUCAUUGACAUUUUGAACUCUCAAGAGUUUGAUGCUGUAGUUUAAUGCGUCAAACAAUAAUUUGAUGGAGCUGCUCAGAGUGAGUGCGUAAAAAGAGAAAGAGAGACAACUUUCCCUUCAUGAGAGCUCUCAGUUCAACUACGUUUAUGAGCAGGUCAAUGCAGUCAAUCUCAUAAAAGGACACCUCAGAGAAUAACCAGGAAAAAGAAAUUCCAGACUAACUCCAACAUUCUGCCUCUGUAACAGUUUGCCACAGGAGCCCAAAAUCUAGGAGAUAGUGACAAGUUAGAUAAGGGUAUUCAUCACAAAGCCUUCCAACUGAAUCAAAAUAAAUUUAAAUGCAUCAUCAACAAAGCAGGAGAACAGUUUUUAAUUACUCAAGAAGCUUUGAGGUUAACUGAAGGCACUAAGGUAGAAACAGAACAGCUUCCAGACAUUUCUAGCAGUCUACCAUAGUAAAGCUUUGUUCCUAAGGAGGCCUUUGCAUCCAAAAUACUCUCUGCAAAAAAAGAAGUUUUAUGAUAUUGCCUGUCCUAUGUUCUAUAGAAUCAAAUGCCUGGGAGGCAUGACUUCUAUUAAACGCUGGGAAAAUAUAAAUCAAAAUCACAACAGGAGCCAGAUAAACUUAAGCCUCAGUUUACACAUUUAUAAAUUAGGGCUCAUUUCUCUGACCUUGCACAAUUCUUUGGGAUUUAGAAUGUGUAAAAUACCUUCCAUAGUACGAAGCACUUAAAAGGAUCUCAGAAAAUGUGAUUCUAAUCAUGAAUAUCUCCAUUCAGGUUUUUAGUGUGCAUGUCACAUCAUAAUUGUCCUCAAGAAUAAAACAUGAUUAUUCUCUAAAGAGGACAUGAUAACUUACAUUGUUCUUGAAACUCCAGGUAGUUUUCCCAUUGAUUAUGCCUAAAUGAAAGUCAAAGAUAACCUUGAAGCCUCCCCUCUAAUGUGAAAAUUUUGGAAACUAGAUUUCUGCAAUUUUUCUAGAAAAGUAUUUUUUUCAAUUUUUUAAAAGUUUCAGUGGCAUCUGGUAUUGGAUCUGCACAUUUGAUUCUGCUCUUCUGAGUAUAUAUAAAAAAAAAGAAAACAUAAAUGACCCUGCUUAGAAUACGCUAGUACCUGUGAGAUCGCUGUAAAGCUAAGGAGUCUAGAGAUGGAAUUUAGAGUGCGGAUAUUCUUCAUUUAGGCAACAAGAAGAGACCCUUGAACUUUCUCCAUUAGGAUUAUUUCACUGAAGUCAUCUGUGGAUAUUCAUAAGAUUCAUGAACUCGAAUGGGGAAAAUAAUUACACAUUUAUGUUCAAUCAGCUUUAACUAACAGGUGGCUUUCCUUUCAAUUAUAUAGACAACAAACCACAGAAGAAUGGGCAGUAUCUUUGUGUCUUACCAAGGACAAUUACAGAUAUUUUCACAUUAUGUUACAAGCAUUUUGAAACAAUGUUUACACUCACCACUACUCUGAAAUUAAGGUGUCAUCUCCAGGCUAUGUAUUUUGAUGAAAACACCACAGCCUCCGCAUUUACUGGGGAAGCUUCUGUUCCUGAUUGUGAACUAUUGUAGCUCUCAGGUAGUGUCACACACACAGGAAAUACUUCUUGGACUGCAUGCUCUGCCAGCACUGACCACCAAGUACUUCCAGGUCAAGCUAGUCCCCUGCCCUCGCAUCGCCAAAACUCCUCCCUUCAGGGUCUUAUAAAAUUGACUAAAAAAUUGUAUUCUACCCCUUCUCCUUACGAAUUCCAAAGUGGCCAAGCGGUACUGCUCUGAAUAGCACCAUGAAAACACAGAAAGAUGACAUGUUUGUAAGGAUGAACAUUUGAGAAAUCUCACCAGCAUUCAAAAGGCAGGUGUCUUGGGUUUAUUCAGUUCUCUUUAUCUGGUUGGAACGCCAGUUUGCUCAGGGCAGGACUCUGUGGAACUCAUUCACCCAUGGGCCUUAAGCAUCUGGGACAGUGCUUGGAACAAACAGGAUCCCUGCUUGCUCUUUGGCUGCCUGAUAUUCUGAAUGGACUGAAGUAAAACAAAGUGAGAGAGAAGAAAAAAUACAUUCCACUUUGUAGCUGCUUAUUAUAAGAAACUUCCACCUUGUCCAUGUAUGAGAUGCAUAUACAGAGAUCAUGGAAACAUCACACAGCAAAGUCUUUCUCCAGCAACUUGCUUUCAGAUACAAAGCGACACUCCAAUGUCAGAAAUCAUUUUAGAAAUUGCUUUUCCCUUUACAAAGCUCUGAACUUUGACUAAUUCCUCAAAGACACUUGUGUUUAUAUGGCUGUUUAUUUACUUAUUGUCCCUGGGUUGUUCAAUAGGUCUCUUGACAUCAUUCCUCCUAUCAUUUUGUAUCCUUUGACCAAUGUGCCCCCAAUACUUCCCAGCUCAACCAAGUCCAGCCUCCAGUAACCUCCCAUCUACUCCUUCUUUCUAUGUAUCAACUCUUUUAGGUCCCACGUACAAGUGAGAUCAUGCGGUAUCUGUGUUUCUGUACCUGGCUUAUUUCAUUUAGCAUAAUUAGGAUUUUAUUCUUUUUUUCAGCUGAAUGAUAUGCAAAUGUAUGUAUGUAUACACCCCCCCCACCCCCCCCACACACAGUUUCUUUACUCAUUCAUCUGAUAGAUAUUUAGGUUAAUUUCAUACCUUAACUAUGGUGAACGGUGCUGCAGUGAACAUGAGGUGCAGACUACCUUUCACAUAAUGAUUGUGUUUCCUUUGGAUGUAUUACCCAGCAGUGGGAUUGCUGGAUCAUAUGGUAGUUCUGUUUUUAAAGUUUUUCAGGAACCUCCAUACAGUUUUCCAUAGUGGCUAUACUAAUUUAUAUUACAACUAAGAGUGUACAAGAAAUUCCCUUUCCUCCACAUCUUCUCCAACACUUACCUGUUGCCUUUUUGAUAAUAGUUAUUCUGACAGAUAUGAGAUGAUACCUCAUUAUGGUUUAAGUUGCAUUUCCCUAAUGAUUAAUGAAGUUAAACAUUUUUUCAUCUAGCUUUUGGCCAUUUGUAUGUCUUAUUUUGAGAAGUGUCUAUUCAGAUCUUCUGUUUCAUUUUAAAUUAAGUUACUUGUUUUCUUAAUAUUGAGUCGUUCAGGUUCUGUACAUGUUUUAGUUAUUACCUCCUGGUCAGACAUGUGAUUUACAAAUAUGUUCUCUCUUUCUGUAGGUUGUCUCUUCACUCUGUUGAUCAUUUCCUUGGCUGUGCAGAAGCUUUUAAGUUUGAUGUAAUCUGAUUUGUCUAUUUUUGCUUUUGUUGCCUCUGCUUUUGCGUUCAUAUUCAAAUAAAUUAUUGCCCAGAUCAACAUCAUGUAUAGGGAUACUUACUAUUUCAAUGUAAACUUACCAAAAUCACAAAAAAUGUAUUGUUAGAAAGUAACUAUGCCACAUAAUGUUUCCACACAAGACUGUGCAACUUGUAUAAACUGUAUUACAUGAUGAAAAUCUCACAAUAGUGCUCAAAACCUCAGGUGUCUAUCUCAAAAGAAGACACAGUCAUUAGAUUGCCUUAUAAUUUGGAUUUUCCUUGAUUAAAAUUUCACAUUCACAUUUGUAUUUCCUUACCUCUGUAGAAAUAGCAUUAAAAGUAAUUCCCCAGGCAUCUGUGAUUGCUCUAGGAAUUUUUAUAUAAAACCUAUAUAUAUAUACACACACACACACACACACAUAUACAUAUAUAUGUGUGUGUCUAAAAAUAGUGUAUAUGUGACAUAGAAUUAUAUUUUGGAUAUAUUAAAUUGUCAUAUCUUUAUUCUUCAUUUUGUAGUCUAGGCAACUAAAUAACCACCAAAGUGACAAAAUAAGGGUACCUUUUCAUAACUUAGAAACCAAGGAAGAAUGACACAAUAUGCUAAUAAAAUUUUCUCCCAAUUUCAACUGGAACAAUUAAAUGAUAAAUUCCUAUGUAGAGAAAUGCAAUCAUCUAUAAUUUCUUCAUUUCAGGUCAGUUAAUAUGACCAUUUAAGCCUGUAUUUCCUAUUGCACUUCUCUUUUAGGUUGACAAAGAAAACAAAUCAGAAAUUCAACUAGCAGUUUUCCAAAAUAAAACAGUAAGGCUUAUUACCCUGACCUUAGCAGUUGGUACCCAAUUUAGUAUCUUUAUACUACGAUGGUUUUCUUGUAAAUGUUAUCCUUGGCCACAUCUAAAAUAACAAGUUUUUACUUAACAUUUAUUUUUUUCUAAAGAAAUUCAGUCUCUAGAAGGAAAUAAACCUGGCAGAAAUAGAAUUCCUACUUUUCUCCCUUAUGCUAGGCUCUAGAAAUACUGAGGAAAUCAUCCGCUUUCAGGACUGUUCUUGAAAGUGAUAACUUGCAUGCACUUGAGCCGCAUCUCCCCUUCCCAGCACACCUGAACCCCAGGUCCCACUGUUGAUCUCCCUCUUCAAAGCAGCUCUGUUAUCUUCCUGAAACUGGAGAGGGAGAGGCUUACUCCUACUUUCAAACCAAAAACAGAUUUAGACCCGAAAGGAUUUAAAAAUAACCUAAAAAUAAAGUCCCAAAGCUGGCUUUUCUAUGUUCAAUCACACAACACUCGAAACAAUUGUGUGUUGCUUUGAGUCCCAAAUGCUUUAAUUUUUUUAAAGAAUAUGCAGUUCACUUUCUUAUUCCAGCAAACAUCGCAUUUAUACUAUCAAUAUGUCCAGGGUUUACUAAAACUUCAUAAAUGACUCUCUGAUAUUUGAAAGGGCAAGAUUAGAGUGGCUUCGUAUUUCAAACACAUACGUCAAAGAGUUGCGUAACACAUAUGCACAUAUUAAAGUUAUUACAGAUGUGAAAAUCUGCUUUUUUUUCCUGCCAAAGAAACAUGUACUUCCUUCAUGAAGAAUUUCCUAAACAAAUUUUGCCAGUUUAAUUGCCUAUAGAAAUUUAUUUUUAAAACAUUUUAUUUAAACCAUGUAAGUCCCAAGGUAGUCUGUGAACGUGAACUUUAAAGCUAACAUUUUUGUCACUAGUUCCUUUUUGCUAUGUCAGAAAAGAAAACAAUUCACAGCCAUUUUAUUUUUCCAGUUUUUCUCAAGGUUAGAGACUGUCUCAACCUCAUAGGCUCAGAAGAAUGCCUUUAUUUUCCCAUGAAAAGAUAAUCCUGAAGUAAUAUUUGCAGCAAGAGGCCAUUAGGCAAGUGUUGACCCUUUAUGGCUAGUCCAAUUUCCUCUCUAUGUGAGAUAUUAGUAAUUAAAUUCAGAUUUCUGUGUAUUUAUUUUCUUUCCUCAACUCUGUUCAUGGAUGCCAUUUUUAGGUAUCUCUUGCCACUUGAGCAAUCAAUAAGCAAAAGAGAGAUUUGUAAGAGGCCUUAAAAGGAGAGAAAGAGGAUUUUUCUCUUAGGCCCAGUUAUAGAAUCAGUUGUUAUUUUUUGGUCUGCAAUAAAUUUUUCCCAUAUCUGUAUGGGCAUUCCACCCGCGAGUUUCAGUUCUCUUAUUGCUUUUCUAAAUGUCUUGAGAGGUCACUAGAAAAUUAUUACAGUUCAUUAUUAUCCAGAAACUCCAACUUCUGACAUAAAGUAGCAAUUAUUUUUAACUUAAUCACAGACUAACAUAGUUUUGGAUGUUGGAAGAAAUAAUGCUAAAAUUGUAUAGCUCAAAAAAAAGAAAGAGAGAGAGAGAGAGAGAAAGACAGCCUGAAUAUGUCUUGAGUUUGAGAAUUUUUCAAUCUUGCUUUAUUCUCAGGGAUAAUUUUCAAACCUGAAAUUAAAUAGAUCAGUUGAGACAUGGAAUAAGCUUCUAUGGAGGCUCAUUAUAAAACUCAUGUAGAGUCUAAUCAUUCUUCCUAACACUCAUUUUUCCACCCACUAAAUCAUUAGCUUCAUUAACAGUGAUUAAAACUAAACCUCAAUCUGGCAGAGUUGGAUGGAUUCUCACGUCCUUCUAAUGACUAUAGUCUAAAGCACCCCACUGGGAAAGUGAGUGCUUCCUGGAGCCCGUGGACACAGAGGGAAGAG